rnacentral:rRNA from 1 species
UACGGAGGGUGCUAGCGUUGUUCGGAAUCACUGGGCGUAAAGGGCGUGUAGGCGGUCUGUUAAGUCUGAUGUGAAAUCCCCUCGCUCAACGAGGGAACUGCGUCGGAUACUGACAGACUCGAGUACCGGAGAGGAAGGUGGAAUUCCCGGUGUAGCGGUGAAAUGCGUAGAUAUCUGGAGGAACACCGGUGGCGAAGGCGGCAUCCUGGACCAAUAUUGACGCUGAGGAGCGAAAGCCAGGGGAGCAAACGGG